rnacentral:snoRNA from 1 species
CCCCCGUGAGGAAAACCCCACGUGUCUGACCCCCUGCCCCCCCACCAGAACCUGCUCAAGGUUGAACCCACUGGUGACAUGGGGAGGGGGGGGAAGACGACGCCUCGUCCUGAGUGGACGGUCUGAGGGGG